UGGGGAAUAUUGGACAAUGGGCGCAAGCCUGAUCCAGCCAUGCCGCGUGAGUGAUGAAGGCCCUAGGGUUGUAAAGCUCUUUCACCGGUGAAGAUAAUGACGGUAACCGGAGAAGAAGCCCCGGCUAACUUCGUGCCAGCAGCCGCGGUAAUACGAAGGGGGCUAGCGUUGUUCGGAUUUACUGGGCGUAAAGCGCACGUAGGCGGACUUUUAAGUCAGGGGUGAAAUCCCGGGGCUCAACCCCGGAACUGCCUUUGAUACUGGAAGUCUUGUGUAUGGUAGAGGUGAGUGGAAUUCCGGGUGUAGAGGUGAAAUUCGUAGAUAUUCGGAGGAACACCAGUGGCGAAGGCGGCUCACUGGACCAUUACUGACGCUGAGGUGCGAAAGCGUGGGGAGCAAACAGG
rnacentral:rRNA from 1 species